rnacentral:lncRNA from 1 species
CGAUCAAGGAGGUCAUCGAGCUAGAUGAUGACGAAGAACCUCCUGUCGCAAGGGCCAACCCCGUCGGCGCGCAAGCUAUGCAAGAAGUGGAGACAACGGCGAAGGCUGGCGAGGAUCAAGCUACGAUCCAGCAGACUGCGCUGAAGAAGCCGUCACCCACAGCCAAGCCCACGUGCUUGGCGGGAGAACUCUCCUUUAAGAUAAGGCGAUCUACAAA